rnacentral:misc_RNA from 1 species
AUGAGAACUUGCCCUUCGGGGUAGAUCUCCCACCCUCUGUUUACAUACUUUGUUGCUUUGGCAGGCCCGUCUUCGGACCGCCGGCUUCGGCUGGCCCGUGCUUGCCAGAGGAUUCAAAACUCUUGUUUACAGUGUCGUCUGAGUACUAUAUAAUAGUUA